GGGGACUUGGGAGCGCGCGCUGCCCCUCACUUGGCUGCAACUGGACCCAGAACUAGGGAAGAGGCCAGGGACAGAUUUUUUUUUUUUAUUUUUAUUUUUUUUGCCGAGGGACGUUUCAAAAUUUUGCACGGCCAGGGUGACAAAAAGAGGAUUUAAGAGCCACAAGCGGUCCGCACAUGACCCAGACUUCGUUCCUGUGCGGUAACGUAGGGAGAGAAGGAAAGGGUGUGGGGGGAAUAAGGGAGUGGGUCAGGUGAAAGAGCGCGACAGAGGGAGAGAUCUAGCAAGUGGAGUUCUGUUUUACUUGCUAUUCUUCCCCUUUAGUCUUUUUUCUCAGGUCCACUUGCCUCAUAACCAACUUCUUGUUUUUUCCUCUGAAAAACUUCGCUAGCUAACAUCAACUAUUCCAGCUGUUUGAGAACUUAUCUUCCUUCCGUUUUCCAACUCUUCCUACUUUUUUAUGUGCUUGAUUUUGUUUUGUUUCCUGGUAAAUGCUGUUUGCCUGUUUGCAUUCAGCAGAAUUCAGUUUUUGUGCAAACCUGCAGUUUUGAUGUAUUAGCGUUGUGGGGGUUUUCCCUCUGGCACGCACACACAUGGCGCUCUCAGAGAUGAUAUUGCUCAACCCCUUUUAUGUUACAGAGGAAAAGCAAGAGGCCCAGAGAGAGGAAGCGGCUUGCCCAGGGUGAGAAGGGUGAGGAAGGAAGCUUCAGAGGUGAAAAUACUCUUCAAUGGGGGCACAAAUUUCCAAAGCCUGGGGCGGGGUUGGUGGCGGGGGGUUGGGGAACACCUUGCUUUUAGGUUUUAUAUACCUUCUUAGAAUUGAAAGCUGACAUUGUAUAAUUAAGCUAACACACUAUUUAUUUAAAGAUACCCUGACAGAUUAAGCUUCCCUUCCUGAAUCUCUAGGAAGGUGUGUUACUGAUUGUUAAAACAUUAAAUUUGUAUUAGGUCAUCAAUAUUGAAGAGCCAGUUUAGGUGGAAAUUUCUUUGAUGAAUGUAAUCAAAGCAACACACUUAAUUGUAAAGAAAGUUUAAAACAGUCUUUAUUCAAUGAUUGAAUAAUAGAAAAAGAUCUUGUGGACCUCUUAGUCUAAUGGAUUCAUUUUAAAAUUGGGAAAUGGAGAUUCAGAGAGUUAAAUCACUUGCUGAAUGUCAUAUUGCCACUUAGUAAGAUUUAAGAAUGAACCUCAGGCACAUUGAUUUUCAGUUUAGUUUAUUUCUACUAAUCUAAUAAUUCCCAUACUGUUCUCUCUCAAAAAUAACUACUAACUCUCCAUUCCACGCACACACAAAAAAUUGAUUCUCAAACUGAUCAGACCCCAAAUCCUUUACUUUCUGAAAUGAAAUUAAUAUAUAAACUGCUUACACACUUAAUAAAAAGAAAUGUAAUGCCAAAUGUAAUAUAAAGAAGAAAUCAGAUAUUUU
rnacentral:lncRNA from 10 species